rnacentral:tRNA from 1 species
GCGCCCGUAGCUCAGCUGGAUAGAGCGGCAGCCUCCGAAGCUGUAGGUCGCAAGUUCGAAUCUUGCCGGGCGCACCA